GACGAACGCUGGCGGCGUGCUUAACACAUGCAAGUCGAACGAAGUGGCGAACGGGUGAGUAACGCGUAAUCAACCUGCCCUUCAGAGGGGGACAACAGUUGGAAACGACUACUAAUACCGCAUACUGAAGGAGGGGAUUGCGUGUGAUUAGCUAGUUGGAGGGGUAACGGCCCACCAAGGCGAUGAUCAGUAGCAGGGAUGGUGGGAUGAACGGCCACAUGGGUACUGAGAAACGGCCCAGCCUCCUACGGGAGGCAGCAGGGGGGAAGCUGCAGCAAUGGACGAAAGUCUGACGGAGCAACGCCGCGUGAGUGAUGACGGCCUUCGGGUUGUAAAGCUCUGUUAAUCGGGACGCGGUACCGGAAUAGAAAGCCACGGCUAACUACGUGCCAGCAGCCGCGGUAAUUC
rnacentral:rRNA from 1 species